rnacentral:rRNA from 1 species
GAUGAACGCUAGCGGCAGGCUUAACACAUGCAAGUCGAGGGGCAGCACGUCUUCGGAUGGUGGCGACCGGCGCACGGGUGCGUAACGCGUAUACAACCUACCUUAUAGAGGGGAAUAGCCCAGAGAAAUUUGGAUUAAUGCCCCAUAGUAUUAUUGAAUAGCAUUAUUUGAUGAUUAAACAUUUAUGGCUAUAAGAUGGGUAUGCGUUCUAUUAGCUAGAUGGUAAGGUAACGGCUUACCAUGGCGACGAUAGAUAGGGGUCCUGAGAGGGAGAUCCCCCACACUGGUACUGAGACACGGACCAGACUCCUACGGGAGGCAGCAGUGAGGAAUAUUGGACAAUGGGCGAGAGCCUGAUCCAGCCAUGCCGCGUGCAGGAAGACGGCCCUAUGGGUUGUAAACUGCUUUUAUACGGGAAGAAACACUCCUUCGUGAAGGAGCUUGACGGUACCGUAAGAAUAAGGAUCGGCUAACUCCGUGCCAGCAGCCGA